rnacentral:rRNA from 1 species
AACGAACGCUGGCGGCAUGCCUAACACAUGCAAGUCGAACGAAGGCUUCGGCCUUAGUGGCGCACGGGUGAGUAACGCGUGGGAAACUGCCUAUUGGUGGGGAAUAACGACGGGAAACUGUCGCUAAUACCGCAUAAGCCCUUCGGGGGAAAGAUUUAUCGCCGAUAGAUGUGCCCGCGUCCGAUUAGCUAGUUGGUGAGGUAAUGGCUCACCAAGGCGACGAUCGGUAGCUGGUCUGAGAGGAUGAUCAGCCACACUGGGACUGAGACACGGCCCAGACUCCUACGGGAGGCAGCAGUGGGGAAUAUUGGACAAUGGGCGAAAGCCUGAUCCAGCAAUGCCGCGUGAGUGAUGAAGGCCUUAGGGUUGUAAAGCUCUUUCGGGUGGGACGAUGAUGACGGUCCACCAGAAGAAGCCCCGGCUAACUUCGUGCCAGCAGCCGCAGUAA